AUUGAACGCUGGCGGCAGGCCUAACACAUGCAAGUCGAACGGUAACAGGAAACAGCUUGCUGUUUCGCUGACGAGUGGCGGACGGGUGAGUAAUGUCUGGGAAACUGCCUGAUGGAGGGGGAUAACUACUGGAAACGGUAGCUAAUACCGCAUAACGUCGCAAGACCAAAGAGGGGGACCCUCGGGCCUCUUGCCAUCGGAUGGGCCCAGAUGGGAUUAGCUUGUUGGUGGGGUAACGGCUCACCAAGGCGACGAUCCCUAGCUGGUCUGAGAGGAUGACCAGCCACACUGGAACUGAGACACGGUCCAGACUCCUACGGGAGGCAGCAGUGGGGAAUAUUGCACAAUGGGCGCAAGCCUGAUGCAGCCAUGCCGCGUGUAUGAAGAAGGCCUUCGGGUUGUAAAGUACUUUCAGCGGGGAGGAAGGGAGUAAAGUUAAUACCUUUGCUCAUUGACGUUACCCGCAGAAGAAGCACCGGCUAACUCCGUG
rnacentral:rRNA from 1 species